AAUGAAUGUUGCCUUGCAAUUAAACUUUUUAAUUAUUAGCUGUAUCAUACUAGAUUUUGCUAUGUAAUUAUCAAGCUAUUUGCCAACUUACAUUGCCCAUUUGUUAAAGCGACUUCUGUUGAUGUCAUAUUUGGCAUAAGGCUACAUUGGAGAUCGGUCCGAUUGACAGGACGUGUUACAUCGGAAAAUCUUUAUCUGCCUGUUCAAUUCAGUAAGUCUGUAGUUAAAGUAAAACAACAAACAUACCGAACUCAAGAAAAAUUCAAAAACGGAAGCCUCCUAUCAAAUUGCAAAUCAAAAGCUCAACACAUUAAACGAAUGGAAAACAACUGUCAUAUUCCUGACUUGGUACAGACAUUUUCUUACGUAGAUGUUGGUGAUUAGCCCUGGUUUCAUAGCUAGAUAAACGUUCACUUGUAUGACAGUAUCAGACAAUUCCAUUAUGUUGACAACAAUGUGUGAUCAAAACGAACAGAAAUAGUAGGUAGUUAAGUGAUUGUCGUUUGUUGCUGUUUGUCAUAUUUAAUUCUCGUUUAAAAUUGUUAGCUUAUAUCAGACCUUGAUAAUUUCUUUAAAUUUUUUUUUCACAAUUUGUUAUCACGCC
rnacentral:lncRNA from 1 species